UUUUUUUUUUUUAUUCUCAUGCAUCAUUUUAACAUUUACACAUUUGUUAAUUUUUUUUAUUUUAUUUUUAGCAACACGCAUUAUUGUCAUAUUUCUAUGGUAUGGUUUACAAGUUAUUUAAAAAAGGUAAAUUAAAAAGUUAGCAAUACUUAAUCUAUUUCUGAAAGCAAAGAAAAAGACGCCCCCAAUCCAAUAUUUAUGUGCCAUUUCAAUUAUUUUGCAAUGCUCUAUGUGCCAAAUUAAAGGUUAAAGUUUAAAAUAAAAACACAUAACCACAAAUGUUUUUUUCUUAGAAACAGAGUUUUGCCUUAUUUAAACUAUACUAUAAAUCUGAAAUGUGGAAAUGUGGCUGUAGAUAUAAACUAUCUAGUACGUAAAAAGCCUGUUUCCUAAACAAUUAAUUUCAGACACCUGACAAAUAAUUUUUACAAUUUUAAACAAAAUAGCAUGUUGAAAAAUAAAAUCCAAAGUGGCUUAUUUGGGAUUUAUUUUUUUUCUUUUUGGCUACAACAAGUCGUGAUCAGCUUAAUGCCCAGUUGUUUAGCAUUAGAUUUUUUCAUAAAACUGAAUCAUAUAUAUAUAUAUAUAUAUAUAUUUUAGUUUGGUGAUAACUAAUUUAUUAUUCAAUUAUAACACUCUAGGAUGUUUUUAUUAAGGUAAAAUCUCUGAACAUGUAUAGUAAGUUCCUGAUGAAUAAUUGCAUAAAACAAACUUUAAAUGAAUUGCACAGUAACCUAGUAUAAUAUAAACCAAUAGUGAAAAUUAAGAAAAUGCAAUAACACGUAGGCAGUCAUCAGAACUCCAACUAUGAUGGACUCCAAUUCCUGGUGUUGUCGGCCUUUUGGCAUGCUGGGAGAUGUAGUUACUAAUUAUUGGACUGAUCAAAGUUUAUUACGGAUUGCAAAACCUCUGAUAUAAACUUGCCCAUUUUUAAUGUGCAUUUUUUUUUUUUAUUUUUUUUUUUAUUAAUUACUUUCCCCUCCAUGCUUAGCUGAUAUUUUACUUAAAAAUGAAUAUUUUAAACUUUUGAAAUGUUAUGAAAAUCUAUGAAUGUUUUCUGCAGUUGGUAUUAAUUAGUACUCAAAGGGUUAAUGCUCAGUAUCUGAGUGUAAGAAUGUCUAUCGCUGUAUUUUUGUAAAUCCUAAAUAUAUAUAUAUAUAUAUAUAUAUUAAAUGAAGCAGUGUAUAUACAUAUAUCUACAUAGAUCCACUCCAUUUUAUGUGUGUCUUGAAAGGGGCAUCAAGAAUAUGCACUAGAAUUGUAGCUUCAUUUAGAUGAAUUGUUAUUUUUAGCGAACAUAAGAAAACGUUGUGAACAUUUCUUGUGUGUGAUUUAUUACUAUGAGCUAUAAAAGAAGGCAAAUGCAAAAUUAAUAAUUAUGUGAAUAAGUGCCAAGAGACAAAAGGAAUUCUAGAUUAAAGAAGGGUUAGUGACAAACAUGAGGCUUAAAAAUAAAGCUGAAAAUGAGGAAAAGGAAGAAAAAUUACAAUCGUUUCAGAGUAGAAUAAAAUCUAAUUGGAUUCUUUGUAAAAACGACUGAGACCUGGUUGCUCAAAAUUCAGAUAAUAUGCUAACGUACAGUCAUUGUUAGAAGGUGCUCAAUAUCUAUAGACUGGUCCCUAUUUCUCGGUGAUGGAGCUCUAGAAAGUCUGCUUGUGUCCUACUAUAGACCAAAUAUAUAAAAAAAAAAAAAACAAGCAUUAUUCAGAGAUGGUGUGUUCUAAUAUUCUAAUAUGCUAUUUUUGAUAUAAGCAUAGCUGCAGCCAAAAUAUAUUUUUCCCACUCUAGACCCAAAGCGACUUUCUAAAUAAGUCAACAGUCUAAUUUCCUUUGUAGUGUACGUAAAGAUUUUACAGAGUGCUACAUCAUUACUGUUCUACUAAUAGUGUAGCAUGAACAACCUUUGCAGUACUUGAUAUAGUGAAUAAAUAUUAAACAAAAUAUUGUUUGAAGACUAGAAUCAAACUAUUACCAUAUGUUUUGAGAGCCCUGACUAUUAGCACAUCCGGGACUCUAGUACCAUAGUUAGCUAUCAUUGGUCUAUUGCUAGGAACCAAUGGGAUCUCUGUAUUUAACUUCCACCGUCGUCACAGUCAAUAGAACAGAGGACUGAUUGAAAAUGCCUUACACUUCCCUGCAAAUCCUGUAGUUCAAGUAAUAAAUGAAUAUUGUGAUCACAAAAAUAUUUAAAAUAUGACACUAGUGUAUGUGUAUUAUUUUUCUUAAAAUAUUCAGAAGCAGAAGUGUUGACAGAACCCUCAAAAUAAAAAAUUUCACAGCAUUGUUUUUUUUUUCUUCUUAUAAAGUUUUGUCUCUGUAAACAUAAAGUUCCAAAUGCAAACUGUAUCAAGGUGUAUAUUUGUCUCUGUGCAAUUUCUUUAUCUAACAUCUUUCCAGUAUAGAAUACAAAAAUAAUUUUAUUUGUUUUGUUGUAUUUAUUUUUCGGUCUAGUACUGGGCAAUCAUAAUGAAUUGCAGUCCGGAAACAACCAAGAGACCUCAGUUGUAC
rnacentral:lncRNA from 1 species